AAAAUAAUUGACCUUAAAUCUAUCCCUUGGUAACCGCUUUUGAGCUUAAUAAUUUCUUUGAAAUUUACUUAAACUUUGCCUAGUUUUGAGCCAAACCGAUCAAAUGAACUUAGGGCAAAAAGAAGGGGACGAUAAAGUAGUGAAUCUUUAUGGACAGGACCUGAGCAUAAAAUGUAAAAAUAUGAUAUCUAUGUCCACAAAAAAAAAGUCCAGAAAGAAAAGAAAAAAUAAAGGACAAGAAUAAAAGAAGAAAAAGAAAAAGAUUUAAUGCCCUAGGGGUGAAUGUGCUUAGGUCCGAAAGAUGGGCAAGGAUCAUACAAAUUUGGAUAACACUAUGCCGAGAAUGAAGUUCAUGCGACCUCAGCCUCAUUCCAAAUUUUCACACCUUAUGUCUUAAGUGUACAUCAUAACCCUAAAAAGAC
rnacentral:lncRNA from 1 species